rnacentral:misc_RNA from 1 species
AACGCACAUUGCGCCUGCCAGUACUCUGGCAGGCAUGCCUGUCCGAGCGUCAUCUCACCGCUCAGGUCGGCCCUGGUUGCCGCCUGGUGUUGGGGCCCCCUACGCGCCGCCGUAGGCCCCGAAAUUCGUCGGCGAGCCCGCCGGAGCUCCCCAGCGCAGUGGUGAAUCACCGCUGAGGGGGCCUGGAAGGUCCUCCGCCAGACCGGCGCCGCAGCCGCGGCGCCCCGCAACCCAAGUUUGACCUCGGAUCAGGUAGGACUACCCGCUGAACUUAA